UUGGGAGGGUAUGUAUUAUUCAUUUAGUGUUUUAGUUUGUAAAGACAUUGCAUAUGGGAUCUCUUGCCUUUAGUUGCCUUAAUAUUAAAAAAUGGAGUGUGCGAUUAGAUGGUAAAGUGCCACUGCAUUAAGAUAAAAUAGUAGAUACUUUUACUUGCAAAAAAUUAAAAGGAACUUGUUGUUGUUUGUUUUUUUUCCAUAUAAUUUGGGGAUAUCUAAGACAGAAACAUUUCAGAAAUCUUUUGGCUAAAGUGCAGCUAGGGUACCAGUCUAUAUAACAGUAUAACAACUGUAUAGCAACAUACUUUGAGAGACAAAGAUGUUGUUUACAGAGAGGUGUUACUCUGGAAUAGUUAGAUUAAAUAUGAAGUUAGAAAAUAAACAUGCAGCAUGUUGAUAUAUGUUUUGUUUGAUGAGAACUGAUGUUUUAGACUGGUUUAAUCUUUACCUGCUAUAUUAUAUAUAUAUGGACUUGUCCACCAGCUUCCUUCCUUUUUAGCAACUGCUCUUUUAUCAGUUUUAUAGAUAACAAGAUGAAAGCUGAAUGUUAGUCAGGUUACAGUGUAAAGUCAGGUCAGACUGCAUGGAUGUGCUGGCUGGAGUGGCACAACACUGCUGGCAGAGGCUAAUCAUUAUCAAUUACAAGGGAUAAGGGUUAAAAUAAUAACAAAGCAAGCUGGUAUUUUGAUUGGCUACACUUACUUUUUGUAAUUUAUUGUCAAGUUUGUGCAAUAUGUAAUAAGAAACUUUGUAUUUUAGCCAUGUGAUCAAAUGCUGUAUCAGAUUUCUUUUCUUUGUUGUUUUUAUGUUAAAAAAUUUAAUCUAUCAUUUAAAAACAAAGGCUGUAAAUCAGACUUUAAAAAGAAAGAAAAUAAAAAGACUACUAAGGUAAAUCUUUGGGUGCCCUAAAUCUGUCCUGACACCAUGUCUGUUUAUUUCACAGUCUUUUAGAUGAUAGUUACAAAUGUAAGAAAGAAAACAAAAUAGCAUAUUUUUAAACAUCAAAGUGAAUUUGAUUUAUCUGUCAAAUUUCUUUAAGUUACACAUGGAUUAUUAGAAUAUAUAGUGUAUUAAACUAAGAUGUGGUAAUGCUUAGGGUAAUGAAUCAUGGCCACUGGCAGAUAUACGAAUAUUGUGAAGUUUUAUACAACAUUCCAGUCUUUGAUCCUCCUGAAAUAAAGUGUUUUUGUAGGAUUAUGCAAGUCUGGUCACUAAAGAAAGGUUUUAGUGUAGUUGUGCAAUCAGGCAAACUAUUAGUAUGAAAAGUUUUAAUGUAAAAUAUGAACUGAUAUGUUUACUUAUGCAUUUUUGGGGUUAUUCAUGUUAUUGAUAUGGAGUGAUAGAGUGGGGUAUCUUGAUAAAGUACUAGUAUGUCUAAUGUUUGUAACUAUGGGGUGGGGUAUCUUGAUUAUGUAAUAUUGAAUGAUGGGAUGGGGUAUCUAUGUUUGUAGCAGCUUAAAGCUUUUUAUUAUUACCAAGUGAUAUUUUUAUGUAUUUUUAUUUUAAUUCCUGUCUGAGUGCUAUAUGCAUGUGUUCAGUUACUAUACUUGUUCUUAUGUUUUUAUUUUAUUUGUAUUGUAACUUUAUAUGUGAAUGUCAAAAUGUGAUAUAUUGUGCUUUCUGUGUUUUUUAAGCAUUUAUGCUUUUUAAGAAUCAUGCAUGUAAAGUGUCAAGUUAGACAAAUCAUUGUUGUAUGCAGUUCUGCUAAAUGAUAAGACCAAAAACCAUAGAGAUGUUGUCUUAAUAUUGAAAGUUCCUAAUAUUGAAAUAACAUGGUUUCAAUAGUUACAUGCUCCGGUUUUAACAGUGAGUUGGUCCUAAUAAUUAUUAGUCUUACUUUCAAAUGUGUAGAAUGUUAAAGUGGCGUCCUGGCCGAUUGGUUAACGCAUUGGACAAGAAAUCUAAGGAUAGCUAGCUGCAAGGGUUCAAAGCUGUCGGGGGGCAAGUCGUCAUUUCCUUAAGCAAGAAACUUUACACUUAUAAAUAACAUUGCUCAGUUCUGGCUAGUUUCAGAAACUAGAGAUUUCGAGAGUGUCUCAGUGUGUUUAUAAGCUAAUAGCUUUCAACUCGAUCCAACUAAAGUAAAUUCUGUAUAAACUAAAAUAGCAUGUUUUUUAAAGUCAUUUUCAUGGAAGGUUUGAAAGGUUGAGGUCAUAUACCGGUGCAUGUAAUAAGAGAGAACGUCAUAUAGAAAUCUUGUAUCUAUCACAUGUAUCAGGCUCUGUCAAAGCGGUGUUGUGUAAAAUAUGUAGCCCUAUAUUAUUUAUGAUAUGCGAGCUAACUUUGAUUUUCCGAUACAUACUUAUAUCACUUACUUUGAAGAUAAUGAUGCCAUCUUUGUUAAAGACUUAAGUACAUUAUAGACAUUUACAGUUGUCUUGGCAAUGAGCCAACUAUAUGUAAACGUAUACAAAAUGUGUAUGUUAUUUAUGUUCUGCAUUUCCAAGGAACCUAUCAUAUAUAUAUGAGCAGCGUCAUGACAAAACCAACAUAAUGGUUUUGCGACAAGCAUGGAUCCAGACCAGCCUGCGCAUCCGCGCAGUCUGAUCAGGAUCCAUGCUGUUCGCUUACAAACCCUAUUACAAGUAGAGAAAUUGAUAGCGAACAGCAUGAAUCCUUAUCAGACUGUGCAGAUGCGCAGGCUGGUCUGGAUCCAUGCUGGUCGCAAACGCACUAUGUUGGUUUUGUCGUGACGCGGCUCAUAUAUGCACUAUGAGGCACCUAUCAUCACUAUACAGUGACAUAUUUAUUUUGAGAAAUGUAUCUUUAUAGAACAAAUAUGGUAUUCUUCUCAUGAAGAACAAAAUGAUUUCUUUAAAUGUGAUACAG